ACCAACAGCUUCUUUGGCUGUCACCAAAUGAUAACUUUUUGGUUCCAUGUAGAACCCUCUGUGGAAUGGAGCCCAAAAGGGUUCUACCUAGACACAGAAGGGGUUCUACCUGGAACCAAAAAGGGUUAUCCUAUGGGGACAGCAGAAGAAUCCUGGUAGUUUGUAGAUAGCACCUUUUUUAACUGAGUGUAGGCCUAUAUUGCACUGGUGGUUCUGUGGUUUUCUGUAAAAAAUCUAAUUCAUUGGUGGUGGUGAGUUAAGAUAAUCAGAAAAACUGUGAAACAUCCCCACUUUUAGCACACAUUUGCACAGUAACCUUUUAUGUGUGCUGAGGCAUUUCUGAUCAGUCAACAUUGACAGGACCAAAAAAAAAAAAAAGACAUGCUUGGGGCUGCAUCUCAGUGCUAGAGACUACAGACCCUGGUUUGUUUCCAGGCUGUUUCACAACCGGCUGUGAUUGGGAGUCCAAUAGGGCAGCGCAGCGCACAAUUGGCCCAGCGUCGUUAGGGUUUGGCCAGGGUAGGUCGUCAUUGUAAAUAAGAAUUUGUUCUUAACUGACUUGCCUAGUUAAAUAAAGGUCUAAUUAAAAAAAGAAAAACAUGCAAACAAAAGAUAACGUGUCUAACUUGAACCGUUAUGCAAUUAUUAGGAGACUAGAUACAAAUAGCUAAUCCUGGGUACCAAUGUUCUAGCAUUAAUUUAUUGAGGCAAGCAGAUCAGAGAUAUCAAGGUGGUACUUAAGUAUAUGCCAUGUGUAUAUGUGACACACACACAUAUGUAUGGUCAUGUUUUGUAUGUUUUAUUUUAUUUAUUUUGCCUCCCAGGUAUUUGCAUUUAAUGUAGGUAUAUAAUUACUGCCGCUAGGGGAGCUGUGGCGUCAAUGGAGUGCGUUAGUGAGAUCUUUCACAUUUCUUCUUCAUUAUGGAGAAUUACUAGUUUUGGAAACUAACGUUUCUCCGUCUCAUAAUUUUAUCCAAUUAAUUCAGGUAUGUAGUGUGCAAAGUGCAAUAUGACUCAAAAAUAUUGAGGUAACAUGGUUAAUUACAUAGUCCAUGAGUUUCAUGAUGUUUGAAGGCAAUUGAAGGGAGUGUUAACCGAGUGAAAAACUGGUUGGUAUUUUAUCCAUUAAGUAAUGGAGUUAGGCUAGUUUGCUAAUGGUUUUCAUGUAAGAGAAGGAAUUAAGAUGUCUGAAUUUUUGUACUUUUAUUUUACAACGUUUUAGAUCCAAUUUGUUUUAUUUUCUAUGAACAAAAGGCUCAGUUUACUUAAGGUAAUAUGUAAUUAUGUGAUGUCACGAUAAAAUGUGUUAGUGUUAAUAUUUGUACAAAAAUAGCGUGUCACAGUUCUCCAGCUUGAUGCUAACCAUAUUUAGCUUGGCUAAGUGCUAGUUAGCUCCAGCCUAGUUCGUUUUAGUCAAUGUCAGCUUACAGGUUAGUGGUUUAUAUUAUAAUGGUUGUACCAAUGUUUCGCAUAGGCGUCCAGUAAUUACGUUUUUUGAAAUUAACACUGAUAGUACAGUGAGUUAUAUAUAAUGUGAACGGGUAUGGUGACUCCAGAUUUGGAUGAACGGACCAACGGGACUGCCAUGGGCAAGUCCCUUGACGGGUACCAGGAAUUGUAGAAGGACAACCAGAAGGUAAUUAUCUUUGCACACAACAGCAGCGUCCAGGCUUCCAGAGUAUUCACUUUAUCGCCUGCUGUUCAGACGGGAGCCGCAGCUGUUUACUGGGGUUAAACGAUGCAAUUGUAUAUAAAAUUAUUGCCUAUACUGUAGUAUAACAAAUGUGUCAUUGACUUAGUGUUUUUCUAUUGAUAUUUUUGUAUAACGUACUUUGAGAUCACUGAUACUCCACCAGAUGUGGUGGAAGUUGUCGAACCAGAUCAGAACGCCUUCGAGGACCACCUCCAUGCAAGGAUGUGAAGGUUUUUGACCAGGUGAGACUGAACAUGGACAAGGCGCAUGAGAAAAAAGAGUCACCGGAGGAGAAUCAAGGGGACCAAAUGCUUCGACAUCUGGGCGAAUGACUUGGCUUGGAAGAAGGACGAAAGGAAGGUGAGACCUGGGAAAGCUUGGUGCUCUUUUGCUCCUAGCUGGGGUCAACAUCCGUUAAGGUGAAUCUAAAAAUCUCAGAUGAUAACUAUUUGCAUUUGCCGCCUCAUGGUGGGCGGCAUUGCCACGUUGUCAGCAGUACCAUCACUGGCCCAGGGAUUUCUCCAAAUAGUCAAUCUCAAGGCUAACCACCACUUCCAGGUAGGUAGUUAAGGUCUAUGACUCCAGUGGUCAUGACAACACCCUGGAGUUUCUCUCACAACUGAUCUCUAUCUUUUCCAGGGACCAUCCCUUACCUCCCUCAUCAACCUCACUGACAUAAAAAAAUUGACAUGUAUCCUUUCUUUUCUGUCUGCCAUUAACAUUAUUGCAUGUCUAAUCAAACAGUUAAAUUAAAUCAUUCAAUAACUGUAUUUUGACAUACAUGAUAAUCCUUUGACCUGUGUGUUGGCUUGUUUACGUAUGUCUCUCCUACCUUUUUCCCUUUACUCUGCUCCUACCUUUUUCCCUUUACUCUGCUCCUGUUGUCCAGGACCUAGGGGUUCUGCCUAACACCCAGACAUGGAUCCACCUGAUGUCCUCCAUAACCAAUCACCCUCUAACUUUUCAUUACAUCAGCUACUGUUAUUGUCAUUAUCUGCUAAGAGCAAUAAAACUAUCAUACUGGGCACAUAAUGUGAGAUGCACAGAUUAGCUAAAAACACUAGCACUUCAAACAUUCAGAACAAAGAGGGCAGCAGCGCCUGGACUUUGCCGUUCCCCUCAUUGAGUCCACCUUCCAAGACUGACUACCUGUUAAAAACAUGUGACAGGCAGAACCUCCCAUCCACACAGUACCCAACUCCUCUCUGUUCCACACACUAUAAUUCAGUCUAUGAUUACCAUGUGAGUGUACAAAAAUAUCUGAAAGUAAAUUUACACAUGUACCCAAAAAAAUUUACGUUUAUGUAUUUAAAUCUAAAAUAUUGCCAGAUUGGUUUUCACAGCUGUUUCGUAAGGUUUUCAUUAUUGUAAUGUAUCCCUUGAUGGUGUUUGUUAGUUCAACAUUAUUCAUUGUUGUAUCAUAGGACCUACAAUAAAUAUAUAUUCAACCACAAA